GUAACAAGCUGGUGAUGAGUUGAUGAAGAGCUGGGUCUUUACACACAGGUAACUCCUGAUUGAAAGCAGGUGUGCCAGCCAAGCUCAACGGGAAAAGUGAAUCGACACACUCAGACAGUAAAAAGGGAGCGGGUGAGAGAGGGAGCUUGAAAAAAUGCACUGCAAAGAAUACAGAAAUGCACAAAGAGAAGGAACAACAGGAGGAAAUACACCGAGUACCGCAGUGUAAGCUCCAAGACAUGGGGAAAAAAAGAAGAAGGGUUGCAAGUAAUGUUUGAUGAAGCACUACAAAGUAACACUGAAGCAGAAAAAAGAAAGAGAGGGAACAACAGGAAGAAACACAGAGAGAAAUGCAGAGUAUUCUCCAAGACUCUGAGAGGAAAAAUACAGAACCGUUCAUUUGCUCAACUAAAUGUUAACCCGCAUAUUUAACCAGCCAGGCAUGUCACCAUGGCCAAGACGACCUGCUGAAGUUCCAGCUGACCAUCACAAUGAGGGGAAAAAGGGUUUACAGAGAAUCAUCUGAAAAAGAGAAAACAUCCAGUGAGCCUCAGUUCUCUGGGUAAAACUGGCUUGUUGAAGCAAGAAGGCAGAGGAGCAUAAUCUGACUGCUUCGUGCUAUUAGAAAGACAAGAGUAACUCAAAUAACCACUUGUUACAACUGAGAUAUGCAGAAGAAUAUCUCUGAAUGAACAUGCCAAACCUUGAAGCAAAGGGGCUACAGCAGCAGAAGACCGCACCAGGUGUCAGUCAGAAAACUGAAGCUACAAUUUGCACUGGUUUGACAAAAUCAGACAACAGCAGAUUGGAAAUGUGUUGCCUGAUCUGAGGAGUCGUAAUUUCUGCUGCCACAUUUAGAGGGUAGGGUCAUAAUUUGGUGUAAACAGUGUGAUAGCAUGGAGCCAUUAUGUCCUGUUUCAACAGUUUAGGCUGCCUCUAGUGGUGUAAUGAGGUAAACGCUUUCUUGGCACACUUUGGACAACUUAGUACCAAGUAAGCAUGAUUUAAACUUGACAGCUUACUAGCGUAUUGCUGCUGACCAUGGCCAUCCUUUUGGGACCACAGCAUACCCAUCUUCUGAUGGAUGCUUCGAAUGGGAAAACACACCAUGAAAAAUCUCAAACUGGUUUCUUGGACAUGAAAAUUAGUUCACUGUAUGCAAAUGGCCUUCACAGCCACCAGAUCUCAGUUCAGUAGAUUGCCUUUGGGCAUGGUUGUGCAGCCUUAAAACUGCUAAACUGUGUGAUGCUUUCAUGUCAAUAUGUUUGCAGCACCUUGUUGAAUCUAUGCCACAAAGAAUUUUAAAAAAAUGGGGGUUCCAACCCAGGACUAGCAAAGUGCAUCUAAUAAAGUGGUCAGUGAGUGUAUGCAUUUCUUUUGUCUUUAUGUUGCUCUAACUUAACACUUUGUCUUAUGGUCCACAUCACAGUAA
ensembl:lncRNA